GAUGAAGAACGUAGCGAAAUGCGAUACGUAGUGUGAAUUGCAGAAUUCAGUGAAUCAUCGAAUCUUUGAACGCACAUUGCACCUCUCGGUAUUCCGGGAGGUAUGCCUGUUCGAGCGUCAUUUGUACCCUCAAGCUCUGCUUGGUGUUGGGUGUUUGUUCCGCCUCUGUGUGUGAACUCGCCUCAAAACAAUUGGCAGCCGGCGUACUUGUUUCGGAGCGCAGCACAUUUUGCGAUCCAGAUCAACGUACAGCGGCAUCCAAGAAGCCUUAUUUAACGCUCUUGACCUCGGAUCAGGUAGGGAUACCCGCUGAACUUAAGCAUAUCAAUAAGCGGAAGGA
rnacentral:misc_RNA from 1 species